GUCAAAAGAUGGAGAUUCAUGAACAUACACCGAUAAUAAACUCCAGAAGAAGAAAAUGACACACUUGCACCAAUGUCUAAUCGUUUGACAACAAGGAAACGGCAACGAUCAUCAGAAGCUGCUCCCUGAGCCAUGUCAGCCAUUGGUCUGAUUCCUGUCACCUGUCAGUGAGGGAUGAUGGCAUCCUCCCAUCAACCCCAUCCCUCCCUGGGACCUGUACCACAGAUGAGAGUCUGUGUGAAGCACAGCUUCGCCCUCAUCUAAGCAGAGACCGACGCAGAGAUAAAGAGUGGAUAACCAAAGCAGCACAGUCUACGUCAGCCCCUGCAGUUAUGCCAGAACACAGACAUUGAGGCCAAUAGUAUCAAACCAUAAUGGGAGCGUCACACUGAAUGAGGGUGCGCAGCCUGAUGAUGGCCCAGAAAACACUGCUGUCCUAAUU